rnacentral:rRNA from 1 species
CUGGCUCAGGAUGAACGCUAGCGGCAGGCUAACACAUGCAAGUCGAGGGGCGAGUCGCGGGGGUAGCAAUACACCUGGCGGCGACCGGCGGAAGGGUGCGUAACGCGUGAGCAACAUGCCCGUCACAGGGGGAUAAAAGAUGGAAACGUCUCCUAAUACCCCAUAACAUCAGGGUAGGCAUCUACCUUGGUUGAAAGUUACGGCGGUGACGGAUUGGCUCGCGUGACAUUAGCUAGUUGGAGUGGUAACGGCACACCAAGGCGACGAUGUCUAGGGGUUCUGAGAGGAAGGUCCCCCACACUGGAACUGAGACACGGUCCAGACUCCUACGGGAGGCAGCAGUGAGGAAUAUUGGUCAAUGGGCGGAAGCCUGAACCAGCCAUGCCGCGUGAAGGAAAAUAAGGUCCUAUGGAUCGUAAACUUCUUUUGUGCGGGAGCAAUAAGGGUGUCGUGACAUCCGAUGAGAGUACCGUACGAAUAAGCAUCGGCUAACUCCGUGCCAGCAGCCGC